CAGGGAAUAUUGCACAAUGGGCGAAAGCCUGAUGCAGCGACGCCGCGUGAGGGAUGAAGGCCUUCGGGUUGUAAACCUCUUUCGACAGGGACGAAGCCGGAGGUCACUCCGGUGACGGUACCUGUAGAAGAAGCCCCGGCUAACUACGUGCCAGCAGCCGCGGUAAAACGUAGGGGGCGAGCGUUGCCCGGAUUCACUGGGCGUAAAGCGGGUGUAGGCGGUCCGUUAAGUCGGGUGUGAAAUCUCCAGGCUCAACCUGGAAACUGCAUCCGAAACUGGCGGACUUGAGGACGGUAGAGGUCGGUGGAAUACCGAGUGUACCGGUGAAAUGGACAGAUAUUCGGUGGAACACCAGUGGCGAAGGCGGCCGACUGGGCCGAUCCUGACGCUGAGACCCGAAAGCCAGGGUAGCGAACCGG
rnacentral:rRNA from 1 species